rnacentral:rRNA from 1 species
AUUGAACGCUGGCGGCAUGCCUUACACAUGCAAGUCGAACGGCAGCACGGGGCAACCUGGUGGCGAGUGGCGAACGGGUGAGUAGUGCAUCGGAACGUACCUUUCAGUGGGGGAUAACGUAGCGAAAGUUACGCUAAUACCGCAUAUUCUGUGAGCAGGAAAGCAGGGGAUCGCAAGACCUUGCGCUGAUUGAGCGGCCGAUGUCAGAUUAGCUAGUUGGUGAGGUAAAGGCUCACCAAGGCGACGAUCUGUAGCGGGUCUGAGAGGAUGAUCGGCCACACGGGAACUGAGACACGGUCCAGACUCCUACGGGAGGCAGCAGUGGGGAAUUUUGGACAAUGGGGGCAACCCUGAUCCAGCCAUGCCGCGUGAGCGAAGAAGGCCUUCGGGUUGUAAAGCUCUUUCGGCCGGGAAGAAAUCGCACGGGCUAAUACCCUGUGUGGAUGACGGUACCGGAAUAAGAAGCACCGGCUAACUACGUGCCAGCAGCCGCCGUAAAAC